AUUGAACGUUGGCGGCAGGCUUUAGACAUGCAAGUCGAACGAGAAAGUGCCUUCGGGCAUGAGUACAGUGGCGAACGGGUGAGUAACGCGUAGGAAUCUACCUUCCGGUGGGGGACAACUCGGGGAAACUCGAGCUAAUACCGCAUAAUAUCCACGGAUCAAAGCGGGGGAUCUUCGGACCUCGCGCCGGGAGAGGAGCCUGCGUUAGAUUAGCUAGUUGGUGGGGUAAAGGCCUACCAAGGCGACGAUCUAUAGCUGGUCUGAGAGGACGAUCAGCCACACUGGAACUGAGACACGGUCCAGACUCCUACGGGAGGCAGCAGUCGGGAAUUUUGGGCAAUGGGCGCAAGCCUGACCCAGCCAUGCCGCGUGUGUGAAGAAGGCCUCGGUUGUAAG
rnacentral:rRNA from 1 species